rnacentral:rRNA from 1 species
GAGCACGUAGGUGGGUUUGUAAGUCAGAUGUGAAAGCCUUCUGUUCAACGGAAGAAUUGCAUCUGAAACUACAAACCUUGAGUGUAGGAGGGGAGAAUGGAACUUCUGGUGGAGCGGUGAAAUGCGUAGAUAUCAGAAGGAGCGCCGGCGGCGAAAGCGAUUCUCUGGCCUAUUACUGACACUCAGUGUGCGAAAGCUAGGGGAGCAAACGGGAUUAGAUACCCCGGUAGUCCUAGCCGUAAACGAUGGGCACUAAGUAGAGGGGUUUU